UAAGCCAUGCAAGUCUCAGUACGAGCUGACUUAAAGUGAAACCGCAAAAGGCUCAGUAAACCGGUCAUAGUUUACCGGAUAUAUGCCACUAACGUGGAUAACUGUGGUAAUUCUAGAGCUAAUACAUGCAAACAAGUCCCGACCAGAGAUGGAGAGGACGCUUUUAUUGGAUCAAAACCAUUCGCCCGGCUCGCCCGGGCGUUUGCCUGAUGAAUCUAGAUAACACCACAGAUCGCACGGUCAUUGUACCGGUGACAUAUCCUUCAAAUGUCUGACUUAUCAGCUGUCGAUGGUAGACUCUUUGUCUACCAUGGCGCUCACGGGUGACGGGGAAUCAGGGUUCGAUUCCGGAGAGGGAGCCUGAGAAACGGCUACCACAUCCAAGGAAGGCAGCAGGCACGCAAAUUACCCACUCCCGGCACGGGGAGGUAGUGACAAAAAAUAACGAUACGGGACUCAUCCGAGGCCCCGUAAUCGGAAUGAGAACACCCUAAAUCCUUUAACGAGGAUCUAUUGGAGGGCAAGUCUGGUGCCAGCAGCCGCGGUAAUUCCAGCUCCAAUAGCGUAUAUUAAAGUUGUUGCGGUUAAAAAGCUCGUAGUUGGUUCUGCGUGCCACGCUGUCGGUUCACCGCCUGCCGGUGCAACUGGCAUGCCGUGGCAUGUCCUGUCGGUGGCGGAUAGGCUUCGCGGCGUGCCCCAUGCGGCUUUACGUCAUGUGGGUUGUCGCUCCGCGUUGUCCUUGUACGCCGGCUCAAUCCUACCGCGGUGCUCUUUACCGAGUGUCGAGGUAGGCCGACAAUGUUUACUUUGAACAAAUUAGAGUGCUUAAAGCAGGCUCUUGAAUCAGCCUGAAUAGUGGUGCAUGGAAUAAUGGAACAGGACCUUGGUUCUAUUUUGUUGGUUUUCGGAAUCCAAGGUAAUGAUCAAUAAGGACAGGCGGGGGCAUUCGUAUUGCGACGUUAGAGGUGAAAUUCUUGGAUCGUCGCAAGACGCACUAGAGCGAAA
rnacentral:rRNA from 1 species